rnacentral:rRNA from 1 species
AACGAACGCUGGCGGCAGGCCUAACACAUGCAAGUCGAGCGCGCCCUUCGGGGUGAGCGGCGGACGGGUGAGUAACGCGUGGGAACGUUCCCUUUUCUACGGAAUAGCCUCGGGAAACUGAGAGUAAUACCGUAUACGCCCUUUGGGGGAAAGAUUUAUCGGAAAAGGAUCGGCCCGCGUUGGAUUAGGUAGUUGGUGGGGUAAUGGCCUACCAAGCCGACGAUCCAUAGCUGGUUUGAGAGGAUGAUCAGCCACACUGGGACUGAGACACGGCCCAGACUCCUACGGGAGGCAGCAGUGGGGAAUCUUAGACAAUGGGGGCAACCCUGAUCGAGCCAUGCCGCGUGAGUGAUGAAGGCCUGAGGGUUGUAAAGCUCUUUCAGCUGGGAAGAUAAUGACGGUACCAGCAGAAGAAGCCCCGGCUAACUCCGUG